rnacentral:rRNA from 1 species
UACAGAGGUCUCAAGCGUUGUUCGGAUUCAUUGGGCGUAAAGGGUGCGUAGGCGGUCUGGUAAGUCGGAUGUGAAAUCCCGGAGCUUAACUUCGGAACUGCAUUCGAUACUGCCGGGCUGGAGUACUGGAGAGGAGACUGGAAUUCACGGUGUAGCAGUGAAAUGCGUAGAUAUCGUAAGGAAGACCAGUGGCGAAGGCGGGUCUCUGGACAGUUACUGACACUGAGGCACGAAGGCCAGGGGAGCAAAC